GUAAAUGUGAGCCGAAAUUUAACAUGUAAAUAAGUUUGCCUCAAAAGCGACUGAUGCCCCCAAAGUCCUCCAAAGAAGAAAUCAUUUGAAUUUAUGUGCUGGCUAUCAACUGGCGAGUGUCUAAUCCGAAAAUUCUUGUGAAAUUGCCAAGUCCCUGUUGGCCUGUGUAUCGAGCUAAGCCAUUUUUAUUAGCCAUUUGGCAGGGCAGCGAAAAGUUUUUGGUCAAUGCUCAAGUGGGCGGCUUUCAUUGGCGCUUAACUAACUGAAAUUAAGCCUUCUCCGGAUUCUCUGGAUUGUACACGCACAUACAAUCACAGAAGCACACACACACUCGCACACACACUCAGACACUCACAUGCAUAUCAUGAAAACUAAUUAACAUUCUAGGGGGCCAUGAAAAACGCAUGCAAUAAAUAUCAUUAAUGGUAGCAAAGAACUUUAUUAAAAGUACUUUUAAUCCAAUUCCA
rnacentral:sRNA from 1 species